rnacentral:rRNA from 1 species
CGCGUCCUACGGGGGGCAGCAGUAGGGAAUCUUCCACAAUGGGCGCAAGCCUGAUGGAGCAACACCGCGUGAGUGAAGAAGGGUUUCGGCUCGUAAAACUCUGUUGUUGGAGAAGAACGUGCGUGAGAGUAACUGUUCACGCAGUGACGGUAUCCAACCAGAAAGUCACGGCUAACUACGUGCCAGCAGCCGCGGUAAUACGGAGGCGGCAAGCGGUAUCCGGAUUUACUGGG